UGACAUGGGGACUGUGUGGAAGAA
rnacentral:piRNA from 3 species